rnacentral:misc_RNA from 1 species
GAUGAAGAACGUAGCGAAAUGCGAUACGUAAUGUGAAUUGCAAAUUCAGUGAAUCAUCGAGUCUUUGAACGCACAUUGCGCCCCCUGGUAUUCCGGGGGGCAUGCCUGUCCGAGCGUCAUUGCUGCCCUCAAGCACGGCUUGUGUGUUGGGCCCCGUCCUCCGAUCCCGGGGGACGGGCCCGAAAGGCAGCGGCGGCACCGCGUCCGGUCCUCGAGCGUAUGGGGCUUUGUCACCCGCUCUGUAGGCCCGGCCGGCGCUUGCCGAUCAACCCAAAUUUUUAUCCAGGUUGACCUCGGAUCAGGUAGGGAUACCCGCUGAACUUAAGCAUAUCAAUAAGCGGGA